rnacentral:rRNA from 1 species
GACGAACGCUGGCGGCGUGCUUAACACAUGCAAGUCGAACGGAAAGGCCCUGCUUUUGUGGGGUGCUCGAGUGGCGAACGGGUGAGUAACACGUGAGUAACCUGCCCUUGACCUUGGGAUAACUUCAGGAAACUGGGGCUAAUACCGGAUAGGAGCUCCUGCUGCCUGGUGGGGGUUGGAAAGUUUGGGCGGUUGGGGAUGGACUCGCGGCUUAUCAGCUUGUUGGUGGGGUGGUGGCUUACCAAGGCGUUGACGGGUAGCCGGCCUGAGAGGGUGACCGGACACAUUGGGACUGAGAUACGGCCCAGACUCCUACGGGAGGCAGCAGUGGGGAAGAUUGCACAAUGGGCGGAAGCCUGAUGCAGCAACGCCGCGUGCGGGAUGACGGCCUGCGGGUUGUAAACCGCUUUCGCCUGUGACGAAGCGUGAGUGACGGUAAUGGGUAAAGAAGCACCGGCUAACUACGUG